rnacentral:lncRNA from 1 species
AUGGCGUCCCUCAGCCUCCUGCUGCUCACCGCCGCUCUGCUGCACGCCGCCCAGCCACUUCCUGCAGCUCUGGGUGUGGGGCGUGGCUUGGACGGAGCAGUGGGCGGGGCCAUGCGCCAGCGCAGAGAUGUCCACGGCGUGCUGCCCUAUGAAGAGCAGCUGUCGUACCCAGCCAGUCAUGGAAGGAGCGCGGUCAAUGACCUUUACUACCCAUCAGAUGACUGGAGGGGACAAGGCCUGGACCAGGCCCUGCAGCAGCUGGUGGACAGGGACCAGAGGCGGGACGUGGAGGAGGAGCAACGGGCAGCCUACAUGUCUGCCUUGCUCCGCCUUCUGAGCGAAGCAGAGAGUGCAAGACUGGUCGGACCGAGUGACGUGGAAGUGGUGGAGGAAGAGGUGGAUGACGAAGAGGAGGAUGACCAGGAACCACCGGACGGCUUCCAGAGGCCAAUCCCUGUAGACUAUGAUGAGACUGGGCGGGGCCUCGCCGUGGGGAGGCCCUCGGCUACCUGGUGGGGCCGCCUGGAGCCCCAGCUGGCUCAGGCUCUGCUGGACAGGAUGGAACCACAGUUGGCUCAGGCUCUGCUGGAGAGAGCGCGCCAGGAGAAACUGCAGCAAGCCGGGCGCGUUUCAUCCGGACUGAGCCUGGGACGGGACCAGGAGGCUCUGAGACAUUUAGUUUCAAAGGUCCUGAGCAGCAUCGGCCCGAACAGCCUCGCCGCCAUGUCCUCUGCGCGACGAAUGAGAAGGGACCUGACCCCCCUUGGCUCCGCCCACAGAAGGGUGCGACGCUCCCUGGAUGAUGCGGCUCCUCCGUCGCCGAGCAGCAACCCUCCUCUGCUGAGGGUGAAGCGCCUGGAGGAGGAGGAGGGCCCCAGGCUCCCUGCAGGGCUUCAGAGGAUGAAGCGCAUCGACGAAGACCUCGGUCAGGGGAGCCGUCGGCGCCGAAGGAGAGCUGUUCUGACCUUUGACCCCCAGCUGCUGGUCAGGCAGGUUAUGGAAUACAUGAGAGAGUAG